CAGUUUUUUAUAGAAAAAUGAUAAAGAUCUCGGAAGAUGGGUAUUCUUACUAAUCAGAUUCUCAAACCAGGUAUAAAUCCGGAUUGAUCCGGGUGCGUUAAAGUUGCGUGCUCCCAUUGAGAUCAAAUACCCUCUCAUUGUGCAUUUAUGUGCUUCCCAUCUUAUAUGCUGAGAUGUAUCUUGUUCUGAAUUUUCAAUAAAAAAUAAUUUUAAUUUUUUCAAUA